GAAAGUGAUCUUAUUAAUGUUUUUGCAAUUCACAAUUGAUAUUUCACAGCUCAAACCCAAAAGCAACAGAAUUUUAACCAAGAAAAACUACAAUCAAAGUACCUGUAAUUAAAAUUUCUAUUCCCAUGAGUUGUAACACAUACAACCAAUCUACGAUGCUGAAAUUCAGUAGUCCAAACGAAUUUCACAUUCAAGUGAAUAUAUUUGGUUUUCAGCUGUUGCUAACAGCUAGUCACUAUUAAUCAGUUGAUAAAAUAAUAGUUGAAUGUCUCACUCCGAAUUCUGAUCCAGCUGGGCCAGGGAAAUUCUUCCACUAUAGACAGGAGAAAAAGAAAG
rnacentral:misc_RNA from 1 species